UGUUGUUUGUCAGGCAGCCUACCACAACCGUGACCUCCCAACCCCUCAGUAACCCGGCUGUUAGCAGCGCCGCCUCCCAGACUGUAAUGUAGUGAACAUUAUGCCACACCCCAGUCCGUGUAUUUGUACUGUGGGAUUCCAGUUCCAUGUUUUACAGUAGCUAGACAGUGCGAGGGACAUGUGAAAAAUGUAAGGCCAGCAUACUUCUGAGUAAAGGUAAACUAAAGUAUACAAAUGCCCCGACCUCAGUUCUUAUAACAAUAAGCAAUCUCAACAGUCGUAUGUUAUUGGCGACGAGUGAAACGCACAAGAGAAGAAUGCAAUUUACAAGACGAACUACGUGCGUACGAGCCGUGGUAAAGAGCAGAAGCAGGGGUUUCCUAGACCUCAGCCGCAACCUCAUGCUCUGGUAAGGGCCACUUCGACUGGGUUCAUGGUCAUCACUAUCUGGUAAUGCUAGAAAAGACAGAAAUGUUGCUUUUUAACCCCACAUUUUCAACCACAAACUAUCCUUAACCAUCACCUGAAACUGAAAACAUAUCCUAUCUACAUGCUCAUCGGUUCACCAAUCUGUAUUUUUGCAUGGCCAUCCCAUGAUGUUCCUUCCCUCUCUCUUCUCUCCCUCACCCUCUUUCCCUUUCUCUCUCUGUCCCUCCCUCCCCCAGGGCAGUGACCUCAAUGGUUUUCUACAGUCUCUCCCUCAACACCACCAACAUGAACGGCGACUCCUACCUCAACUACUUUAACUCGGCACUAACAAGAUUGUGACCUACAUGAGUACCGGAGUUCUGAAUCGCCGUUCCCGGCGACCCACAAUCCUCUUCUACUUGCUGCUUUUCUGUGGCAUUCAUGCUGCUGUUCAUCAAGCUGGUCCAAGGGGAUCUGUGUCUGUUUUGAACCCCAGUGAUCUGUAACCAAAGCGAAAUUAUGUUUUCCCCCCUACCUAAUACCUCAAGGUCUUGUGUAGUACAUUAUCUAUUACACAUUAUACACUGGAUGGUUCGAGCCCUGAAUGCUGUUUGACUGACAGCCGUGGUAUAUCAGACCGUAUACCACAGCCCUGCUCCUGUGUCCCCUCAGAUCAGCACAUCCUGUCCCAGGUACUGGCGUUGCUGGGCGUGUUGGGGGCAUACUGUUUCCUCUACCUCUUAUCCACUGAGCUCUUGCCAACUGUGGUCAGGAACAUGGGCCUGGGUAUGGCCUGGGCAUGGAAGCACGCAUAGAAAGCAUCCUCUCCCCCUACGUCAUCUACAUCAGUGUGGGGGGGGGGGGUUCGUGUGUGUUUGUGGAAGAUUUCAUGCAUUAGCAAGAAUGAAUGUACACUGAACACAAAUAUACAUGCGUCAUACACAUGUUGGUCCCAUGUUUCA